UUCUUUUGUUUUAUUCCCUUGGGAUCGUGGCAGCGUUUGGGUUUUGAUAAGAAGAAGUUGGAGCGUAGACCAGAGCUGCAUAACUAGCGCCAGCGGCAGCUGCGGUGGUUUCAUAGUAGGUGUUACAGACCGCCAUAGUUCAGACUUCAGGGGGUCGGUAGAAGUAGAGGAGGACACUUCGGGUGGAGUUGAAGCACGGCUUUCUUCUUGAGGCCGUGGAGCAAACAGUGCGUUGACUCCCUAGUGAAGGUACUCAAAUAAGUACGGAGGUACCCGCUUGUGUCCUGUACGAAUUGUUUGUGACAGUUCUUUAACAAACGCUACAGUUUCCGACAGCGUCUCCCCUGGCGACCCCGUUUUCUUCGACCUCGACUUUCGCCAAACGGUGAUGUCUCACUUCACAGUGCCAUC
rnacentral:rRNA from 1 species